rnacentral:rRNA from 1 species
CCUACGGGUGGCAGCAGUGAGGAAUAUUGGUCAAUGGACGAGAGUCUGAACCAGCCAAGUAGCGUGAAGGAUGACUGCCCUAUGGGUUGUAAACUUCUUUUAUAAAGGAAUAAAACGAGGCACGUGUGCCUUUUUGCAUGUACUUUAUGAAUAAGGAUCGGCUAACUCCGUGCCAGCAGCCGCGGUAAUACGGAGGAUCCGAUCGUUAUCCGGAUUUAUUUGGUUUAAAGGGAGCGUAGAUGGGUUGUUAAGUCAGUUGUGAAAGUUUGCGGCUCAACCGUAAAAUUGCAAUUGAUACUGGCAGUCUUGAGUACAGGUGAGGUAGGCGGAAUUCGUGGUGUAGCGGUGAAAUGCUUAGAUAUCACGAAGAACCCCGAUUGCGAAGGCAGCUUACUAAACUGUGACUGACAUUGAUGCUCGAAAGUGUGGGUAUCAAACAGGAUUAGAUACCCUGGUAGUC